ensembl:lncRNA
GAUCCCAGAAUCUAAGGUGUUUCUUCAGCCAGCCUCACGAAAUAAAAUCAAGAAAUGAAACUUGCCAGGCAGACAAAACAGCAAACUUUCUGCCUGGGGAAACACACAGCUUUUCUGGGAGUCCUAAAGCAGGCUCCAGCUAAAAAAAAUUCCUGUCCAGCCCUGCUCAGAGUGUGCAAGCCAUUAACAGUUUUGGCCAGAAAUGGGGAGGAGAAAAAGCAUGAAGAAGCCGCGAAGUGGAGGAGAAAAGGUGCAGGGAGAUGCAGCUCCUGGAGAAAUGGUAAAAAGCCUUGCAAAAGAGUUGUCGGAAGGACCGUUAUUCCUGCUGGGCAGGUUAGGACUGAUCUCUUUCUGCCACUCCAGGAAACACAAACCUGGGGACGGGCUGACGUGUUACGCCUCUUCUAA